rnacentral:piRNA from 1 species
UUGUAUUAAAGGGCUGCAGCAUUAGGA